GGGUUCGAUUCCGGAGAGGGAGCCUGAGAAACGGCUACCACAUCUAAGGAAGGCAGCAGGCGCGCAAAUUACCCAAUUCUAACAGCAUAAGAGAGGUAGUGACAAGAAAUAACAAUACAAGGCAGUUAAAAUGCUUUGUAAUUGGAAUGAUAGAAAUUUAAACACUUUUUAAAGUAUCAAUUGGAGGGCAAGUCUGGUGCCAGCAGCCGCGGUAAUUCCAGCUCCAAUAGCGUAUAUUAAAAUUGUUGCAGUUAAAAAGCUCGUAGUUGAAUUUCUGCUAAAAAUAACCGGUCUGCUUUUAACAAAAGUGGUAUCUUGGUGUGUUUUUAGCAAUAAUGUCCUUUGAAAUGUGUUUUACUUUGUUGUAAAAGAUAAUAUUCAGGAUUUUUACUUUGAGAAAAUUAGAGUGUUUCUAGCAGGCUAAUGUUUUGAAUACUGCAGCAUGGAAUAAUAAAAUAUGAUUUUGGUUCUACAUUGUUGGUUUU
rnacentral:rRNA from 1 species